rnacentral:rRNA from 1 species
UGCAGUCGAACGAGAAAGUGGAGCAAUCCAUGAGUAAAGUGGCGUACGGGUGAGUAACACGUGGAUCAUCUACCUCUUUGUGGGGAAUAACCAAGGGAAACCGUGGCUAAUACCGCAUAAGCUCGAGAGAGGAAAGUCGAAAGACGCAGAGAGAGGAGUCCGCGGCUGAUUAGCUAGUUGGUGGGGUAAAGGCCACCAAGGCGAAGAUCGGUAGCCGGCCUGAGAGGGCACACGGCCACACUGGCACUGAAACACGGGCCAGACUCCUACGGGAGGCAGCAGUGGGGAAUCUUGCACAAUGGGGGAAACCCUGAUGCAGCGACGCCGCGUGAGCGAUGAAGCCCUUCGGGGUGUAAAGCUCUUUCGUCAGGGAAGAUAAUGACGGUACCUGGAGAAGCAGCUGCGGCUAACUACGUGCCAGCAGCCGCGGUAAUACGUAGGCAGCAAGCGUUGUUCGGAGUUACUGGGCGUAAAGGGUGUGUAGGCGGUUGUUUAAGUUUGGUGUGAAAUCUCCCGGCUCAACUGGGAGGGUGCGCCGAAUACUGAAUGACUUGGAGUGCGGGAGAGGAUAGUGGAAUUCCUGGUGUAGCGGUGAAAUGCGUAGAUAUCAGGAGGAACACCGGUGGUGUAGACGGCUAUCUGGACCGUAACUGACGCUGAGACACGAAAGCGU